rnacentral:rRNA from 1 species
AGUCACUGACAUUAGAUACCCGUGUAGUCCAGGGUGUAAACGCUGCAGACUUGGUGUUGGAAAUCCUUCGAGGGUAUUCAGUGCCGGAGAGAAGUUGUUAAGUCUGCUACUUGGGGAGUACGUCCGCAAGGAUGAAACUUAAAGGAAUUGGCGGGGAGCACCGCAACGGGAGGAGCGUGCGGUUUAAUUGGAUUCAACACCGUAAACUCACCAGGGAAGACUGUUACAUGAAGGCCGAGAUGAAGACUCUGCUAGAUUUUCAG